rnacentral:rRNA from 1 species
CCUACGGGAGGCAGCAGUGGGGAAUUUUCCGCAAUGGGCGAAAGCCUGACGGAGCAAUACCGCGUGAGGGAUGAAGGCCUAUGGGUUGUAAACCUCUUUUUUCAGGGAGGAAUAAAUGACGUGUACCUGAAGAAUAAGCAUCGGCUAACUCCGUGCCAGCAGCCGCGGUAAGACGGGGGAUGCAAGUGUUAUCCGGAAUCACUGGGCGUAAAGCGUCUGUAGGUGGUUAAAUAAGUCAACUGUUAAAUCUUGAGGCUUAACUUCAAAAUCGCAGUCGAAACUGUUUGACUAGAGUAUAGUAGGGGUAAAGGGAAUUUCCAGUGGAGCGGUGAAAUGCGUAGAUAUUGGAAAGAACACCGAUGGCGAAGGCACUUUACUGGGCUAUUACUAACACUGAGAGACGAAAGCUAGGGUAGCAAAUGGGAUUAGAUACCCCAGUAGUCCUAGCUGUAAACAAUGGAUACUAGAUGUUGAACAGAUCGACCUGUGCAGUAUCAAAGCUAACGCGUUAAGUAUCCCGCCUGGGAAGUAUGCUCGCAGAGUGAAACUANAGAGAGUGNGNGUUGAGUAGNGACGAGCGACGACGAGGAGAG